rnacentral:rRNA from 1 species
CCUACGGGGGGCUGCAGUGGGGAAUAUUGGACAAUGGGCGCAAGCCUGAUCCAGCAAUGCCGCGUGAGUGAUGAAGGCCUUAGGGUUGUAAAGCUCUUUUACCCGGGAUGAUAAUGACAGUACCGGGAGAAUAAGCUCCGGCUAACUCCGUGCCAGCAGCCGCGGUAAUACGGAGGGAGCUAGCGUUGUUCGGAAUUACUGGGCGUAAAGCGCACGUAGGCGGCUUUGUAAGGUAGAGGUGAAAGCCUGGAGCUCAACUCCAGAAUUGCCUUUGAUACUGCAUGGACUGAAUCCAGGAGAGGUGAGUGGAAUUCCGAGUGUAGAGGUGAAAUUCGUAGAUAUUCGGAAGAACACCAGUGGCGAAGGCGGCUCACUGGACUGGUAUUGACGCUGAGGUGCGAAAGCGUGGGGAGCAAACAGGAUUAGAUACCCCAGUAGUC